rnacentral:rRNA from 1 species
GAUGAAGCUGGAGCUUGCUCUGGUGGAUUAGUGGCGAACGGGUGAGUAACACGUGAGUAACCUGCCCUUGACUCUGGGAUAAGCGCUGGAAACGGCGUCUAAUACCGGAUACGAGCUUCCACCGCAUGGUGAGUUGCUGGAAAGAAUUUCGGUCAAGGAUGGACUCGCGGCCUAUCAGCUUGUUGGUGAGGUAACGGCUCACCAAGGCGACGACGGGUAGCCGGCCUGAGAGGGUGACCGGCCACACUGGGACUGAGACACGGCCCAGACUCCUACGGGAGGCAGCAGUGGGGAAUAUUGCACAAUGGGCGCAAGCCUGAUGCAGCAACGCCGCGUGAGGGACGAAGGCCUUCGGGUCGUAAACCUCUUUUAGCAGGGAAGAAGCGAAAGUGACGGUACCUGCAGAAAAAGCACCGGCUAACUACGUGCCAGCAGCCGCGGUAAUACGUAGGGUGCGAGCGUUGUCCGGAAUUAUUGGGCGUAAAGAGCUCGUAGGCGGUUUGUCACGUCUGCUGUGAAAACUGGAGGCUCAACCUCCAGCCUGCAGUGGGUACGGGCAGACUAGAGUGCGGUAGGGGAGAUUGGAAUUCCUGGUGUAGCGGUGGAAUGCGCAGAUAUCAGGAGGAACACCGAUGGCGAAGGCAGAUCUCUGGGCCGUUACUGACGCUGAGGAGCGAAAGCGUGGGGAGCGAACAGGAUUAGAUACCCUGGUAGUCCACGCCGUAAACGGUGGGCGCUAGAUGUGGGGACCAUUCCACGGUUUCCGUGUCGCA